CUCCCACACUUUGAGACCGACGCUGUGGACCCAAAAAGCCGGCAUAAGGGAAAGCUGGAGACAUAGAGCCUGCUGGAGACGAGCGACGUGAACUGGACGUCCAUCAGACCGGUCUACAUCUAUGGCCCUCUCAACUACAACCCCGUGGAGGAGUGGUUCUUCCACCGGCUCAAGGCUGGUCGCCCGAUCCCCAUCCCUAACGCUGGGAACCAGAUCACCCAGCUCGGCCAUGUCAAGGAUUUGGCGACGGCCUUCAUCAAGGUCCUCGGUUAUGGGAU